GACGAACGCUGGCGGCGUGCCUAAUACAUGCAAGUAGAACGCUGAAGCUUGGUGCUUGCACCGAGCGGAUGAGUUGCGAACGGGUGAGUAACGCGUAGGUAACCUGCCUGGUAGCGGGGGAUAACUAUUGGAAACGAUAGCUAAUACCGCAUAAGAGUAGAUGUUGCAUGACAUUUGCUUAAAAGGUGCAAUUGCAUCACUACCAGAUGGACCUGCGUUGUAUUAGCUAGUUGGUGAGGUAACGGCUCACCAAGGCAACGAUACAUAGCCGACCUGAGAGGGUGAUCGGCCACACUGGGACUGAGACACGGCCCAGACUCCUACGGGAGGCAGCAGUAGGGAAUCUUCGGCAAUGGACGGAAGUCUGACCGAGCAACGCCGCGUGAGUGAAGAAGGUUUUCGGAUCGUAAAGCUCUGUUGUAAGAGAAGAACGAGUGUGAGAGCGGAAAGUUCACACUGUGACGGUAUCUUACCAGAAAGAGACGGCUAACUACGUG
rnacentral:rRNA from 1 species